CUAUUCUUUCUUCUUAUCUAAUCCUUGAUCUCUGGUCUAUUAUGAAUUCAAUCAUGUCUAUCUAUGAAUUUCAUAGACCUAUGGGCACACAUCUCGAACCACCAAAAUCUUCAAAGCCUAUCAUAGCAUCUAGUUUUGAGAUAGACCCCGAAUACAUAGAAUUUAUUCAAAAACAACCUUUCUCAGGAGAAGGUGAGAAAAACCCAUACACACACCUAAGAGAGUUUUAUCGAGUCUGUGACCUCCUU
rnacentral:lncRNA from 1 species